rnacentral:rRNA from 1 species
AUUGAACGUUGGCGGCAUGCCUUACACAUGCAAGUCGAACGGCAGCACGGAGCUUGCUCUGGUGGCGAGUGGCGAACGGGUGAGUAAUAUAUCGGAACGUACCCUAGAGUGGGGGAUAACGUAGCGAAAGUUACGCUAAUACCGCAUACGAUCUAAGGAUGAAAGUGGGGGAUCGCAAGACCUCAUGCUCGUGGAGCGGCCGAUAUCUGAUUAGCUAGUUGGUAGGGUAAAAGCCUACCAAGGCAUCGAUCAGUAGCUGGUCUGAGAGGACGACCAGCCACACUGGAACUGAGACACGGUCCAGACUCCUACGGGAGGCAGCAGUGGGGAAUUUUGGACAAUGGGCGAAAGCCUGAUCCAGCAAUGCCGCGUGAGUGAAGAAGGCCUUCGGGUUGUAAAGCUCUUUUGUCAGGGAAGAAACGGUGGGAGCUAAUAUCUCUUGCUAAUGACGGUACCUGAAGAAUAAGCACCGGCUAACUACGUGCCAGCAGCCGCGGUAAUACGUAGGGUGCAAGCGUUAAUCGGAAUUACUGGGCGUAAAGCGUGCGCAGGCGGUUUUGUAAGUCUGAUGUGAAAUCCCCGGGCUCAACCUGGGAAUUGCAUUGGAGACUGCAAGGCUAGAAUCUGGCAGAGGGGGGUAGAAUUCCACGUGUAGCAGUGAAAUGCGUAGAUAUGUGGAGGAACACCGAUGGCGAAGGCAGCCCCCUGGGUCAAGAUUGACGCUCAUGCACGAAAGCGUGGGGAGCAAACAGGAUUAGAUACCCUGGUAGUCCACGCCCUAAACGAUGUCUACUAGUUGUCGGGUCUUAAUUGACUUGGUAACGCAGCUAACGCGUGAAGUAGACCGCCUGGGGAGUACGGUCGCAAGAUUAAAACUCAAAGGAAUUGACGGGGACCCGCACAAGCGGUGGAUGAUGUGGAUUAAUUCGAUGCAACGCGAAAAACCUUACCUACCCUUGACAUGGCUGGAAUCCUUGAGAGAUCAGGGAGUGCUCGAAAGAGAACCAGUACACAGGUGCUGCAUGGCUGUCGUCAGCUCGUGUCGUGAGAUGUUGGGUUAAGUCCCGCAACGAGCGCAACCCUUGUCAUUAGUUGCUACGAAAGGGCACCCUAAUGAGACUGCCGGUGACAAACCGGAGGAAGGUGGGGAUGACGUCAAGUCCUCAUGGCCCUUAUGGGUAGGGCUUCACACGUCAUACAAUGGUACAUACAGAGCGCCGCCAACCCGCGAGGGGGAGCUAAUCGCAGAAAGUGUAUCGUAGUCCGGAUUGUAGUCUGCAACUCGACUGCAUGAAGUUGGAAUCGCUAGUAAUCGCGGAUCAGCAUGUCGCGGUGAAUACGUUCCCGGGUCU